AGAGCGAACGCUGGCGGCAGGCCUAACACAUGCAAGUCGAACGGACUCUUCGGAGUUAGUGGCGGACGGGUGAGUAACACGUGGGAACGUGCCUUUAGGUUCGGAAUAGCUCCUGGAAACGGGUGGUAAUACCGAAUGUGCCCUUCGGGGGAAAGAUUUAUCGCCUUUAGAGCGGCCCGCGUCUGAUUAGCUUGUUGGUGAGGUAAUGGCUCACCAAGGCUACGAUCAGUAGCUGGUCUGAGAGGAUGACCAGCCACAUUGGACUGAGACACCGGACCCAAACU
rnacentral:rRNA from 1 species